rnacentral:rRNA from 1 species
UAAGUAAGCUUUGAUCCAGAGAUUUCCGAAUGGGGAAACCCAGCAUGAGUUAUGUCAUGUUAUCGAUAUGUGAAUACAUAGCAUAUCAGAAGGCACACCCGGAGAACUGAAACAUCUUAGUACCCGGAGGAAGAGAAAGAAAAUUCGAUUCCCUUAGUAGCGGCGAGCGAAACGGGAAGAGCCCAAACCAACAAGCUUGCUUGUUGGGGUUGUAGGACACUCUAUACGGAGUUACAAAGGACGACAUUAGACGAAUCAUCUGGAAAGAUGAAUCAAAGAAGGUAAUAAUCCUGUAGUCGAAAAUGUUGUCUCUCUUGAGUGGAUCCUGAGUACGACGGAGC